CCCUUGGAUACAGCAUCAGGUGGCCUUCCCCUUGCUGGCUCCAACAUCACACCACUCCCUCACACCGCCUUUGCAAGUCGUCUUUUGUCAGAGAUGCUGCUAGUUUUGUCUAGUCUUUCUCUUCCAACAGAAUGUUGAUAACUUGGGAAUUUGAAGCUCAUCAACCCACAAUCUGUUAUCUGAGUGUGAUGACAUGCUGUUCGGCUACACUGAGUUGGUGGAGCACAGGCGCUGCUGAGGUUUUGAGCCCUCCCCUAACAUUAUUUUCUGAACAGGUCCAAGCAGGCCUUGGAAGGUGUGAAUAGAAUCAUAUAAUAAUAAUGUACUUAUAUUUCA